CGUGUGUGUGUGUGUGUGUGUGUGUGUGUGUGAUGUUCCCUCAUUGCGUUCCCUCAAACCCUGACACACACACACACACACACACACACACACACC
rnacentral:miRNA from 1 species